rnacentral:rRNA from 1 species
AGUGAACGCUGGCGGUAGGCCUAACACAUGCAAGUCGAACGGCAGCACAGUAAGAGCUUGCUCUUACGGGUGGCGAGUGGCGGACGGGUGAGGAAUACAUCGGAAUCUACUUUUUCGUGGGGGAUAACGUAGGGAAACUUACGCUAAUACCGCAUACGACCUACGGGUGAAAGCAGGGGAUCUUCGGACCUUGCGCGAUUGAAUGAGCCGAUGUCGGAGUAGCUAGUUGGCGGGGUAAAGGCCCACCAAGGCGACGAUCCGUAGCUGGUCUGAGAGGAUGGUCAGCCACACUGGAACUGGGACACGGUCCAGACGCCUACGGGAGGCAGCAGUGGGGAAUAUUGGACAAUGGGCGCAAGCCUGAUCCAGCCAUACCGCGUGGGUGAAGGAGGCCUUCGGGUUGUAAAGCCCUUUUGUUGGGAAAGAAAAGCAGCAGGUUAAUACCCCGCUGUUCUGACGGUACCCAAAGAAUAAGCACCGGCUAACUUCGUG